rfam:Hordeum vulgare subsp. vulgare, WGS project CAJW01000000 data, contig: morex_contig_2564875
CCGCUCGGGGAUGCUGAGAUCAUCUCCCACGUCAUAGCUAGCCUCGACAUCGACUACAACCCCGUGAUCUUGGCCCUGGCCGCGCGGGUUGAACCGGUUAUAGUUCAAGAGCUCUACAGCCAGCUUCUGAGCUUCGACG